CGGCGGCCGUGAGAGCUGCGUUCUCAUUGGCUUCCCGCCCUGUCCGUCUCCCCUUCUCUGCAGGCCGCAGGGGGCUCAGUGAGUCGGAGCUGGAGCAGCCGCUUGGCUUGCUGAAGCUGGCGCGGGAUUUUGGGAGGGGGCUGGAGCAAGGGCCGAGAAGGAGAAGUGGGGCGGGAUGAUUCAUCCCUUUCCACCCCCACCCCCCACACGCUUCCUUCUGAGCUCGAGUGCAGUCACCCGGGAGCAGGGGGCGUGAGAACCCCUCCCAAUCGUGAGUGGGCUGCUGUUGCCUGUCGCCGGCGCUUGGGGCUUGCCUUCCAGCUCUAGUCUGCGCGCCGACCCACCCCUUCUCCUUCCGCUGCUGGCAUCAAGCUGGCACCUCCCCCGUGCCUUCCUGGGGGCUUUUGGGCUUUUCUCCAGCACUCAGAAGCAGCUGGAGCGCCCGCAUCCAUCGUGUUUGGGGGAGAUGGUUGUGUGUCAUGGCUGCAGUGCCCCCUUCUUGCGCUCCCCCCCCUCCCCGGUAGCUUUUUCCCUACUCCGAGGCAAAGGCUCAGUAUUCCUCCAAAAGCUGUACCACCAUCGCUACAUGUUUUAAAUGUGUGGAGGCCCCUACGCCUUGGAGUGAAGGUACCUAGGUUCUUCUCACCCUCCCAGCCUCUCGAAGCUCAUCCCUCAGCAUCUGGCUGGGUUUUAGAGAGGCCCCAGGAACAUUAGUUGAGUUGAAGCAGGCAGAGUUUGUGUGUUUCUGAGUGCUAUUGUUUGGAAACUAGCUAUGUGAACGAAUUGCUAUGGCAUUGCAGAUUCCAAUGUUUGAUUCCAAACGAUAUUAUCCAAUGUCACAUGCCCUUAGCAUCUACCAUAAAUUCCAGAAUAGGGGGCGGGGUGUUAUUUUUGCUUCUGUGAGGUAAUGAAGGAAUCUAAUGAUAGCCCUUGUAUUCUAACCGAUUUCUCUUUUCCCCAAAUCGUGCUAGAGAUAAUGGAUCCUGCCCCUUGCCUGCAUAACCCUUAAAUGAGGACGACGAUAGAAUCUUUGAAUCAAUAUAUCAGCCUGUUACUCAAUGGGUAGAAUCUUUGAAUCCAGUGACAUUCCAAGGAAGUAAUUUAUCUUGGGGGCACACAUAGUUAAUUUUCUGAGUGAUUCAUAAAACAAGUGACAAAAAUGGUUUUCAAGUCCCGUGGGAUCUUCCAAAUUUUCAACUUCCAGUAGAUAACGAUUAUUCAUAGCUUCAUUUAUAAUUUAAAAGCACUUUUUUUUGUCCAGGGAAAAGAAGUACUUUCUAUAAUCUUUGAUUUUUGGAGAAAUAGUACAAAUAAAUUGGAUUAUCUCGCAAAUAUAUUUUUUAGCACAAUGACUACAGUAGUUGAUCAUUGGUUGUGUGGGAGGAAGAAUUCACAUUGUUAUUUAAAACUAUGUUAGUCACAAAUCCUACAGGGUUUAUUUCUAACCCAUAUUUUAAUUAGUUGAGACCAGAGCUGCUAAGGUAUAUGCAAUCUGUUUACAGGCAAAGAGUUUCUUCAGAUUUGAUUGGGGGCAUUAUCUAUAUUAGUGCAGGAUACAAAGACUACAUUAGUCCAAAGACACUUUGCUCAUGCUAAGUGAUUGAUUCUUAAGAAAUUGGUGGAGAGGGUCAUCCACCCUUGCAUGUUACAAUACUUUCAUGCAUUUUGCAUUCGCUUGUGCAAGUCAGGGAAACCUUGGCUGGCAAAGUAAGGAGCUGUCAUUCUUCUGGAGUCUGGGCUUUGCCUACCACGGUAUACCAUGAAGGAGGUCUGGGGAUUAACUAGGGUAUGCCGUGUAAGAGGUCCAGUCAUUAGCAGACAGGCUACCCUUGGUUCACAGCAAAGGGUGGGUGGUCUGAGGGACUGUCCAAUGGUAGGAUUCAGUGUCAGGUACAAAUACCCUCAAUACGAUGCAGACUUACGGAACAGUUGAUCAAUUAGGAAAUAGCUUAAGAUGAGUUAGCGUUGGGUGUGUUUGGUCAGGAACUAGCACAUCAGUCACUCCUAGAGAGCUCUCCAAAUGGCUGCCUUUUGACUCUUCCAGACAUCAUGACUUGAGUCAGUCCCCGUAAUUAGAACAGUUAUUCCCGUUUUUCAGAUUAAUGAACUGACUUUCACGAUCCAGUACUGGUGAGGCUAGUAUUAGAACCCAAGAAAGGGAAGGUUGUAGUUCCUUUUCUUCAUUCACCAAGUAAAUACUGAGUCCAGAUUUUGUCAGGUCCCCACAUAACAAAACCUGAAAUAUUCAACUUUUGCUAUCCCACUUAGCUUCUCCGAGAGUUUACCAUUUUUAAAAUUAAUUUCUCUAUUUUUGUUAGGCCUUUGAAGAUGUCCUCUUGUGUUGUACUACUUGACCAUGAUGUACUUUAAAGCCCACCACCCCGGGUUAUCUUUAAAGGGGAAUUUAAGAAAUCUGAAUGCGAUUGGUGACAUUGUAGAAUGUCAGCCCGCUGGGAGAUUGUUUUCUGUUCCAGCUGGUGGUUGACCGUGCCCUGGAGUGUGGGAUUGCUGGUCCUGUAGUUUCAUCAUCCCUGGUAAUGACUGCAGCUGUUCUCGUUUGUGUAAAUACCGGAUACGAUCCCAUGAAACUUACCAUUCGCCCGAACGAUGUUCUUCAGCAAUGAGGAGAGCAAAUUGGAGGAGCACUGGCAGCUUUUCCACUCUUAAAGGAAAGAUGAAUGUUUUCUAAUGAAAACUACAAUUGCUUUUGUAUUUCUUAAACUGUAAUGCUUGGUGGCUAAUUCUGUAUUCUCUCUGAGUUAAAGAACAAACACAAGGAAGGAGGUAUUUUCUGGUAUCCCUCCCUGUUCUCAUUUAGAGCCAUUUGUCUUCAGAUUUGUGGGUGUGGGGAGGAGGGGGUGGUUCUUCAGCACCAUGUCCACCUCUGUGCAGUCAUGCUUCCCACCGUGAUGAUAAUGGACUAAACUUCCGUACCUGUGAGCCAGCCGCAGUGAAAUGCUGUCCUUUCUAAGAGUCACCAUGGUCAUGGCCUCUUCUGCCAAUAGAAACCUUAACUAAGACAGGACCCCAAAGUGGAAUUAGAACAAUAGCUGCUAGUGCCCAGUUUCUGGAUGAGCUCAAACCAGCUUCAGGGCCUUCUUCACUUAGGAGCCGUGCUCAGAAUACUCGAUGAUAGGGGUACUUAAGCCCAGAUUCAUAUUUAUGCAUGUUACACAUCUAGUUAUAGCAGGCUGAAUUCUGGGUAAAACGGGCUUCUAAGAAAAAAGCAUACCCCCCUUUCCUGGAAGUGCUUACCCAAGGAGAGGCACAAGGAGAAGAGACUGAAAGUCUCCCCUCUGCCAAGGAUGAGUCAUCGUUGCUCAGUUCAGCUCAUGGCCUUUUCUUUUUCUAAAGAGUGUAUUCUUGCUUCCUUGCCUGCUCCAAUUAAUCUUUUGAGAUUUGGAUCCACUGUUUCCCCUCUGAAUUCUUCUCUUUCAGGAGUAUGAGGGUCGAGUACUACUGACAUAGAGACCAGAGAAAAAUAGGGGUGUUAUGCACCUUGGAUUAGGAGAGUGCCCAUCAAUAUUGUUAACUGAGACAAGUAGUUUGCAUUGGAAUUGUUUUACUUUUGUGUUGCUGGAACAAGAAUACCUGAGAACAACUUAACAGGGAGAAAUUAUGUCUUUUUCUCACCUCACCGCUUCAGAGGCUUUGGUCUACCCUGGGUAAAAAAUGUAGCAGAAAAGAGCACUUACAUUAUGGCCGACAAGAAGCAAAAAGAGAUAGGAAGGGACCAAGGACAAGAUACCCUCAAGGACCUACUCGUGGCUUGCUUCCUCCAGGGCAUGCUUCUUGGAAAAGCCUAAUCAAGAUAAAGAGUGAGUGAGUUGGGGAGAGAGCAGGUGCGUGUUGAAAAGGGAACUUGGAGUCGUCUGGGGAUGCGGAGCAAAAGGAAGUCUCAGUUACUGCUGACGGGGACGCAAAAUACAGCGUUUUGCAGAAUUUAGCAGUUUCCUACAAGAUGAGCUGGGUGACUGAACUAUAUUGCCCCUGCUUUGACCAUCAGCCCAGGAACAAUGGAGCCAGUGGACUGAAGCCUCAGAGACUGAGAAACCUUUCCUCUUUGAACUUGAUUUCUUUUAGGAAUUUGUCAAAGAGAUGCAAAAUUGACCAACACAAUAAUUUGGUUUCAGAUUCUUAGACUUGUUAGGAAAAAGGGAUUUUGGUGUCAGUAUUAGUCAAGGCUCUCCAGAGGGGGGGAAAAACAAUAGGAUGUAAACACACACACACACACACACACACACACACACA
rnacentral:sRNA from 1 species